UACGUAGGGACCGAGCGUUGUCCGGAUUCAUUGGGCGUAAAGAGCUCGUAGGCGGCUAUUCAAGUCGAACGUGAAAUCUCGGAGCUCAACUCCGAACUGCGUUCGAUACUGGGUAGCUAGAGUCUGGUAGGGGGAUCUGGAAUUCCUGGUGUAGCGGUGGAAUGCGCAGAUAUCAGGAGGAACACCGGUGGCGAAGGCGGUUCUCGUGGGCCUUACCUGACGCUGAGGAGCGAAAGGCGUGGGGAGCGAACAGG
rnacentral:rRNA from 1 species